AGGUCUCCGCCCCUGACAAGAAGCGGGUUUGCCAUUGGCCAAAUCGAAGACAGUCUCUGCUGGAAAGAGGCGGGGCCAGGCCCGCGAUUCCUCCACCUGGAGAACUUCCGCCGGAAGCCCUUCCAGGAGGGAGCGAGAGCCGAGCAACCAACGUCAUGUCUUGAUUUACUACCUUAUAUCAAUACCACACUGCCGCCAUUACCAGUACCUGAUAGGACCCCUAUACCUCUAAGGGCUUCAACUGUGUUGUUCUUCAGUAUUGCCGUGAGUGUCCUUGGUCGUCUGCAUUUUCCCGCCUAUUUUAAAAUCAGUGUGUCAAGCUUAACAUCAGUAACAGCAAAGCCUUCCAGGAUUCUGACUAGAGCAUCUUUAUUCCACAGUGUUCUCCCUGCUCUUGGAAAUUUCUUACUUCCCUGGGUAGAGAUAAUUUAUUUAGAAGAAACUAAAUUCACCUCACUAAUUGCUUAUCUUGAUGAAACUAUAACGCCUAUUAGAGUAGGUGUAUCUUUGUUCUCAUUAGACCAGAGUUCUGUAAUGUGGCAGUGGCCCCAGGAAGCAUUUUGUAUGAGACUGCUGUCUUCUCUGGAAAAGCUUUCCCAGCACAGGGUGGCCCAACAGGUCUGUCUUCAGCAGGUUAAGCCUGGAUUUUGGGGUGUGCUUGCCACCCUCUCCACAAUGUUCUUUAGCAUCUCAUAAACCACAACGUGCAUAACUCACCAAGCAGGAAGUGUUCACAUUUCUAUGACUUCUACCAUCACAGAGGUCUGCUGCUCAAGGCCUUGGGUGAAGAUCUGGAAAACAAACCAGGAAGAACUGGAGAAAAUAUUUUUACACUUAUGAUAUCCAACAGAUUGCUCAUCCCUGUCGUAAUUAAGAAGAAACUCUGGGAUGGUGCAGGGCUGCUGGCGAUCCUCCACCCACCCAGCAGAUCUGAGGACUCAGAGAGGUUCGAAUCCCACUCUGUACACCAAGACGGGGCUGUCCUGACCUCGGUCACCCCAGUGACCUUGUGAAUGGAGAUUCUGUACAGCAGGACCUGAUCAAGCCCUGAGGAGUCACACACCAUUUCCCACCACAUCUAAGAAUAAAGGCCGGAAGGACACACAUGUGACCUGCAUGUGCCACUGUCCCUUUGCCACUGUCCUUCUGGCCACCUUGAACAGAAAU
rnacentral:lncRNA from 1 species